ACGGGGUCAGCAGGCGCGAAACCUCUGCAAUGCGGGAAACCGUGACAGGGGGAUCCCAAGUGCUCAUGCAUUGCAUGGGCUGUUCUUUGGUCUAAGUAACCAGAGGAGUAAGGGCUGGGCAAGACCGGUGCCAGCCGCCGCGGUAAUACCGGCAGCUCAAGUGGUAGCCGCGAUUAUUGGGCCUAAAGCGUUCGUAGCCGGAUAAGUAAGUCUUUGGUUAAAUCCUGCGACUUAACCGUGGGAAAUCUAGAGAUACUGCUUGUCUUGAGACCGGGAGAGGUUGGAGGUACUCCCAGGGUAGGGGUGAGAUCCUGUAAUCCUGGGGGGACCACCUGUGGCGAAGGCGUCCAACUGGAACGGGUCUGACGGUGAGGGACGAAACCUAGGGGAGCGAGCCGGAUUAGAUACCCGGGUAGUCCUAGGCGUAAAUGAUGCGAGUUAAGUGUGGGGGCAUCCACGAGAUGGCCCUGUGCUGUAGGGUAGCCGUUAAACUCGCCGCCUGGGGAGUACGGUCGCAAGGCUGAAACUUAAAGGAAUUGGCGGGGGAGCAC
rnacentral:rRNA from 1 species